AUUGCAGUUUACUUCUCCUUCUCAAUUAAAAAGAAAGACAGAUAGCAAGAGUGGAUGCUGCGAUUUCUUUCUCUUCGCCAAAAUUUUUAUUUUCCAUCUGGAUUUCUUUGGCUGGUUUGAUUCAUCAUCCAAAAAUUAAGAAUCAUCUUUUUCCCAACAAUGUUCAAGUUUUGGAUGAAAUGGAUGAGGCGAGAAAGGUUUGUUUUGAUGGUUAAUCAUGUAACACAUGUAUGGAUGUAUGGAUAUAGUGAAAUUUAUUAAAGAUCAUUCAAUUAAA